AUGCCCAGUGAUUAUAAAAAGACGCGUUAUUCUGAGGGACACAACCUGCUACCAGUCUUUCAUCUUCUUUUUACUCUCUUUACCUCUUCCGUCUCUUCUCUCCACCUUCCCUUCUCCACUCAUCCUCCUACUCAAACUGGUAGCUGGUCCGCUGACUGCGAUUAUGAGAUAUGAGGGCAU
rnacentral:snoRNA from 1 species